rnacentral:rRNA from 1 species
GACUGCUAAUACCGCAUAAUGUCUUCGGACCAAACGGGGCUUCGGCUCCGGCGCAGAGAGAGGCCCAUUCUCUUAUUAGCUAGUUGGUGAGGUAAAGGCUCACCAAGGCGACGAUCUCUAGCUGUUCUGAGAGGAAGAUCAUCCACACUGUGACUGAGACACGGCCCAGACUCCUACGGGAGGCAGCUGUGGGCAAUAUUGCACAAUGGGGGAAACCCUGAUUUAGCCUUUCCGCGUGUGUGAAUAAGGCCUUCGGGUUGUAAAUCACUUUCUGUUGUGA